CGCCCCUCGGGGCGUCAUUUACUGUGAAAAAAUUAGAGUGUUUAAAGCAGGCUUUAGGCUUGAAUACAUUAACAUGGAAUAAUGAGAUAGGACCAAGUCGUUUUUUGUUGGUUGCACGAUUCGGUGAUGAUUUAUAGGGACAGUUGGGGGUAUUCAUAUUUAAUUGUCAGAUGUGAAAUUCUUAAAUUUAUUAAAGAUGAACUACUGCAAAAGCAUUUACCAAGGAUGUUUUCAUUAAU
rnacentral:rRNA from 1 species